rnacentral:rRNA from 1 species
AAGCGGUGGAGCAUGUGGCUUAAUUCGAGGCAACGCGAAGAACCUUAUCCUGGGCUUGACAUGUACGGAUUAACCCCAUGAAAGUGGGGCCACACUCGCAAGAGCGGAACGUGCACAGGUGCUGCAUGGCUGUCGUCAGUUCGUGUCGUGAGAUGUCGCGUUAAGUCGCUAAACGAACGCAACCCUUAUCUUUAGUUGCCAGCGCGUCAUGGCGGGGACUCUAGAGAGACUGCCGGUGUCAAACCGGAGGAAGGCGGGGAUG